rnacentral:rRNA from 1 species
GACGAACGCUGGCGGCGUGCCUAAUACAUGCAAGUCGAGCGAAGAAUAGGUUUCAAAUCUUCGGAUGCGAGACCUAUUACUUAGCGGCGAACGGGUGAGUAACGCGUGGGCAACCUGCCCCCCAGACUGGGAUAACAGCUCGAAAGGGCUGCUAAUACCGGAUACGCCUCAAGGAUCGCAUGUUACUUGAGGGAAAGUGUUUAGCGCUGGGGGAUGGGCCCGCGUCCCAUUAGCUAGUUGGUGAGGUAACGGCUCACCAAGGCGACGAUGGGUAGCCGGCCUGAGAGGGUGGACGGCCACACUGGGACUGAGACACGGCCCAGACUCCUACGGGAGGCAGCAGUAGGGAAUAUUGCGCAAUGGGGGGGAACCCCUGACGCAGCGACGCCGCGUGAGCGAUGAAGGCCUUGGGUCGUAAAGCUCUGUCCUAUGGGAAGAAUUUGACGGUACCAUAGAGGAAGCCCCGGCUAACUACGUGCCAGCAGCCGCGGUAAUAGUACUCU